rnacentral:rRNA from 1 species
GAUGAACGCUGGCGGCGUGCCUAAUACAUGCAAGUCGAGCGAACAGACGAGGAGCUUGCUCCUCUGACGUUAGCGGCGGACGGGUGAGUAACACGUGGAUAACCUACCUAUAAGACUGGGAUAACUUCGGGAAACCGGAGCUAAUACCGGAUAAUAUAUUGAACCGCAUGGUUCAAUAGUGAAAGACGGUUUUGCUGUCACUUAUAGAUGGAUCCGCGCCGCAUUAGCUAGUUGGUAGGGUAACGGCUUACCAAGGCAACGAUGCGUAGCCGACCUGAGAGGGUGGUAGGCCACACUGGAACGGAGACACGGUCCAGACGCCUACGGGAGGCAGCAGUAGGGAAUCUUCCGCAAUGGGCGAAAGCCUGACGGAGCAACGCCGCGUGAGUGAUGAAGGUCUUCGGAUCGUAAAACUCUGUUAUUAGGGAAGAACAAAUGUGUAAGUAACUAUGCACGGCUUGACGGUACCUAAUCAGAAAGCCACGGCUAACUACGUG